UGCUUGGGAAACUGAUGCUGACCAAAUUGC
rnacentral:piRNA from 1 species